rnacentral:misc_RNA from 1 species
GUGGACUCCAUAUGAUUGUGGCAGCAACGAAAGAGGACCCUUCAUCAGUUCAGGCGAAAGAUCAGCGCAUGAUCAUUGAGAGCCUCAUCAGCAUAAUUCCACCACAGAAGGAUAGCGUCUCCUGCAGCUUCCUCCUGCGCCUUCUGAGAAUGGCAAACAUGUUAAAAGUGGCACCUGCAUUAGUUACAGAAUUAGAGAAACGAGUGGGGAUGCAGUUUGAACAGGCAACAUUGGCUGACCUCCUAAUUCCUUCUUACAAUAAGAGCGAGACCUUGUAUGACGUGGACCUCACUCAGAGGCUUCUGGAGCAUUUUCUGAUUCAAGAACAGACAGAAAGUUCAAGUCCAAGUAGACAACCAUUUUCUGACCAAAGGGGUACUAAUACACA